AACGCGAAGAACCUUACCAGCCCUUGACAUGUCCCGUAUGAGUACCAGAGAUGGAACUCUUCAGUUCGGCUGGCGGGAACACAGGUGCUGCAUGGCUGUCGUCAGCUCGUGUCGUGAGAUGUUGGGUUAAGUCCCGCAACGAGCGCAACCCUCGCCCUUAGUUGCCAUCAUUAAGUUGGGCACUCUAAGGGGACUGCCGGUGAUAAGCCGCGAGGAAGGUGGGGAUGACGUCAAGUCCUCAUGGCCCUUACGGGCUGGGCUACACACGUGCUACAAUGGCGGUGACAGUGGGACGCAAUGGAGCAAUCCUGCGCAAAUCUCAAAAAGCCGUCUCAGUUCGGAUUGUGCUCUGCAACUCGAGCACAUGAAGUUGGAAUCGCUAGUAAUCGCAGAUCAGCACGCUGCGGUGAAUACGUUCCCGGGCCUUGUA
rnacentral:rRNA from 1 species